CUGAUGCUGGCUGCUCCCGCCUGGCCGCCUCCCUGCUGCUUGCUCUCGUGCUUCACUACUCAGUGCUCGCUCUCCAGCCUCCAGCUCAAGUGCUCGGCGGACAAACUAAGAAAAGCACUUGCUGAACCUGUGGAGUCUCUAUUUGAUGAUGCAGACCAAACAACCUAGCAAUCAAUAAGAAACAUUUACAAAUGUGAGACAAAGGCCAUCCUACCAGAGUUUCUGAAUAACCUUUGUCAGUUUGAAAUGGAAUACGCUCCAGCAGAAGAAAUGGUAUCCAAAUUAAAGGAUUAUGCCCGGAGUGUUGUGGAAAGUAAAGCUAAAGAGGAAUCUAGCAAAGUAUUGAUCCAUAUGAAGGAGAGGUUCACAACAGUGUUUAGCCAUGACAAGGAUUCAAUUUCAAGGGUCUGGACAGGAAAGGAAGAUGUUCGUGCAAUAGCAAAGGAAGCUCGAUCUGCGGCUCUCAAACUUCUGUCUGUAAUGGCGGCCAUUCGCUGGGAUGACGAGCCAGAUAGGAUUGAAAGCAUCCUCACUUCAACACUUCUGGAAGGCUCUGUUGUAUCAAAGAUUGCAAGUGCUGCUUCUGCUGAUCCACUUGCUUCUACCACUUGGGAAGAGAUUCCUCCAAAGCAUACAAUGAUUACCCCGUCUCAGUGCAAGUCACUGUGGAAACAAUUUAAAGCAGAAACUGAGUUCACGAUUACAAGCAGUAUCCACACAGCAAGCUCACAGGCGCGAUAAUAGUAAACUGCCUCCUCCUUGGGCAAUCGUGGCCAUUGCUAUUCUUGGUUUCAAUGAGAUCAUGGUGCUUAUUAGGAAUCCCAUUUAUCUGUUCUUGCUAUUUGUGGGCUACUUGAUGGUCAAAGCUUUGGCGAUGCAGCUAGAUGUCAGCAGAGAAUUCCAGAAUGGAGUGGUUCCUGGGAUAAUCUCUGUGUCGGUGAAGCUCCUACCAACGAUACAGAACCUGCUUUCUAAGUUAAGUUAUUUUGUUUAAACCUCACGAGACAUUUAACCAUUUGCAUAAUUAAACCUCACAAAUGCAUUGUUUAUUGAAAAAUGCAUGUUACCAUUUGAAUGCACUAGAUGCUAGUUGGGUGCAUGAUAGAUUCAUUGGUUCUGCCCUCUCUUUAGAAAGCCAUUUGAUAUUAUGUUAGUUUUUUCCCUCCUGUUGGAAACUGCAUGUUGGCCCCACAUGAUAGAUGUGGUACCAUCCCAGUAUGCUGCUUGACAAGUCCCUAGUUUUUAACAGAAUCAAGUUCAGUCUCUAAGUUUCAUGGUCACCUCUCUUUUUCAGACCACAUAACCAACUCUAGAGGCCCUUUCACAUGUGUUGUAUUUAUAGCUUCUGGUUAAGGAGCAAAAGGGGGGGGAUUGCAUCAUGCAUUCUUCCUUUGUUCUAUUCACCUCUUGCUAUUACUGGUUGUUCAGACAGUGGGGUCUUGGGGUCGACCUUACAUUGUGUUUGCCCAGGCCAUCCUAUUUGUUUUCAAUACCCAACAUAGAAAUGGGAAGUUUGGUCUUAAAGACAGCUUUUUUGGACACUCAAAUAACUGACCAUAUUUACUUAGCAGUCAACACCUUCUAGCUUAGUUUUUUCCCUUGAACAUGUAAAACUGUAUGUCAUUGCAUUAAGAGAAAGUAAGGCCAAAAUAGCAAAAAUACAACGACCUUACAUUCUUACACUAUCACGACAACCAGAACAAACACCUUACAUUACCAUGCAUGACCAGAACAACCUUACGUGACCUUACAACCAAAACAACAACCUUAUGUGACCAAAACAACCACUAAAAGAUGACUUAAACAGCCUUAAGCAACCAACUUGAUGCAAGGCAACAGAUGACAACGGCCAACCACAAACCGUAAGGGAUUUAGAUCCCAAUGGGUUUUGAGGAAAAUAUUUUUACAUUAAGCAAAACUCUGAACAGAAGUUAUGUGCUCUACAACUUCCUAUUUCUUCAGUUUGGCUAUUGUACUUAACAACAGUGUGUUGUAUGCUAUUCUAGUGGUGUUUGUAGAUCUUUUUCUUUUAUAUAAACAUGACAGCUAUCCCUUUAAAAUUUUCUAUAUUUAUUUCAUUAUUUUUUUAAUCUCAGUAUGCACCAACAUUUUUGGGAUUUUCUGUAGAUAUCAAUAUAUGAUUUA